UACGGGGGGGGUAAGCGUUGUUCGGAAUUACUGGGCGUAAAGGGCUCGUAGGCGGCCAACUAAGUCAUACGUGAAAUCCCUCAGCUUAACUGGGGAACUGCGUGUGAUACUGGAUGGCUUGGAUUUGGGAGAGGGAUGCGGAAUUCCAGGUGUAGCGGUGAAAUGCGUAGAUAUCGGAAGGAACAUCAGUGGCGAAAGCGGCUUCCUGGACCAGCACCGACGUUCAGGCACGAAAGCGUGGGGAGCAAACAGG
rnacentral:rRNA from 1 species